AAACGCUUGAAGUCAGUCGCGUCUUCUGGAACUCAGCCUUGCUUCUGCUCGGUGCACUUUCCAGUCUGACGGGCCAGCAUCGGUUUCGGGCGGCAGACAAAGGCGAGGGGAAGGUGGCAGCUCCGGCUGUGUUAUAGCCCCUCGUUGUAUGUGCCCUCUGGGACCGAGGAAUCCGGCGCUCGCGCCUGGGAUGCUGGCGUAAUGGCUUUAAACGA
rnacentral:rRNA from 1 species